UGUGUCAGAGUGUGAGACGAGGGUCUGCAUGGAAACAUGAAGGGUUACACAGGCUGUGGGGCCUGGGAGGUGAGCUUAGCUGGGCUCUGUAGCAUGUGCUGGAGGGUGGAGACUGUGGGUUCAGCAGAGUGUGUCUGAGGCAGAGACGACUGAACUGGGUAGAGCAGCAGAUGGAGGACUGAGAAGGAAGCACACAGCAGAGCAGACAACUGAGGCAAGUGGAUGGGUCACAGAGAGUAGCAGAAGUGUUCCUGUGUGUGCCCUGGAGAAACAAUGAGAGACCUAGAAAACGGGCCCAGGAUGUGGGAGGUCAGGUGAGCUACCUCGGACAACUGCGAGAGGGUGGUGGAGGAGAGGUUCACCUCUGUCCAACAGGCCGGAGAGUGAGGAACCGCAGGAGACGGGGCCCGGCAGCCAGGACAGGAGGGGAGGCUUGUUGAGAGGAUCCGGGAACAUACUGUGGCCAGAGGGACGGCAGGGAGCUAGGAGAGAGUGCGUGUGGAUAACCUGCCCCCCAAAGUGGGCCGAGGGCAAGAGGAAGCCCCUGCAGGAGGAAGAGCACAGCACAGGUCAGGCGAGUGAGGAAGUGGGAGAGGUGGGAAGAGGCCAGCGCAGGAUGGGCUGCUACAGGCAGUGGUGCAGUGCAGAAGGGUGAGCACAUUAACCCCGGGUGAGGGUUCAUCAGCCUCCAGGCUGUCAGACAUGGAGGAAAAGGACCCAGGACCACGCAGACAGCGAGCAAAUGGAUGUAGGCAUCAAGGCACCUGAAUGAUGGCGUUGUGCUGGAAUUGCUCUUAAUGGUUCAAGAGUGAGUUGCCAACUUGGUGGUCCCAGAGCUGAGGAUGCUUGAGAUACGAAGCCCAGAGAUGGAAGUGCAGAGUGAAAAGAAGAGGGCUUGUAUGUACUCGGGCAGAGAGCACCAGAGGGGACGUCCACACUGAUGGAAAGGCCAGAGCGGGUGGCAGAGGUCAGUGCAGGAGAGCGUCUGGGGAGAGGUGGCUGCUAGGAGGGAGGGGAGGAGGAGGGCGGCAGCAGGCCCAGGGCUCUGUGCAGAGGGAGGCUGGGGUAGUGACGGGUGGCAGCGCGGCAGAAGACUAAAGGUAGCAGGACUGUGGUGAAGGGAGAAAGGCAGAGAGUCAGGAAGGGUUUCCCACGAAUGCAUUAGAGGAGCGUGAAACGAUCUGAAUGGAACAGGAAAGGUUACACUGGGGGCAUUUGGGAGGACAGGAGCUUUGGAGGCUGGGGCAUGUGGACAGACACUGUGUCACAGGAUGUCUGAGGCAGAGAUGGCUGAACUGGGUUGAGCAGCGGAUGGGGCACUGAGAAGGCAGCACACAGCAGAGGAGACAACUGAGGCAAGCUGGAGGGGUCACAGAGAGUAGCUGAAGUGUUGCUGUGUGCACCGUGGAGAAACGAGGAGAGACCUAGAAACCGGGCCCAGGAUGUGGGAGGUCAGGUGAGCCGCCUCGGACAACUGAGAGAGAGUGGUUGAGGAGAGGUUCACCUCUGUCCGACAGGCCAGAGAGUGAGGAACCGCAGGAGACGGGGCCCGGCAGCCAGGACAGGAGGGGAGGCUUGUUGAGAGGAUCCGGGAACAUACUGUGGCCAGAGGGACGCCAGGGAGCUAGGAGAGAGUGGGUGUGGAGAACCUGCCCCCCAGAGCGGGCCUAGCGCAUGAGGAAGCCCCUGAAGGAGGAAGAGCACAGCACAGGUCAGGCGAGUGAGGAAGUGGGAGAGGUGGGAAGAGGCCAGCGCAGGAUGGGCUGCUACAGGCAGUGGUGCAGUGGAGAAGGGUGAGCACAUGAACCCCGGGUCUGAGGGUUCAUCAGCCUCCAGGCUGUCAGACAUGGAGGAAAAGGACCCAGGACCACGCAGAGAGCGAGAAUGUGGAUGUGGGCAUCAAGGCACCUGAAUGACGGCGUUGUGCUGGAAUUGCUCUUAAUGGUUCAAGAGUGAAUUGCCAACUUGGUGGACCCAGAGCUGAGGAUGCUUGAGAUACGAAGCCCAGAGAUGCAAGUGCAGACUGAAAGGAAGAGGGCUUGUAUGUACGCGGGCAGAGAGCACCACAGGGGAUGUCAACUUGAUGGAAAGGCCAGAGCGGGUGGCAGAGGUCAGUGCAGGAGAGCGUCUGGGGAGAGGUGGCUGCUAGGAGGGUGGGGAGGAGGAGGGCGGCAGCAGGCCCAGGGCUCUGUGCAGAAGGAGGCUGGGGUAGUGACGGGUGGCAGCGCGGCAGGAGGCUAAAGGUAGCAGUACUGUGGUGAAGGGAUGAAGGCAGAGAGCCAGGAAGGGUUUCCCACGAAUGCGUCAGAGGAGCGUGAAACGAUCUGAAUGGAACAGGAAAGGUUACAUUGGGGGCAUUUGGGAGGACAGGAGGUUUGGAGGCUGGGGCAUGUGGACAGGCACUGUGUCACAGGAUGUCUGAGGCAGAGACAGCUGAACUGGGUUGAGCAGCGGAUAGGGCACCGAGAGGGAAACACAGAGCAGAGGAGACACCUGAGACGAGCUGGAGGGGUCACAGAGAGUAGUGGAACUGUUGCUGUGUGCGCCCUAGAGAAACCAGGAGAGACCCAGAAACCGGGCCCAGGAUGUGGGAGGUCCGGUGAGCCGCCUCAGACAACUGAGAGAGGGUGGCGGAGGAGAGGUCCACCUCUGUGCGACAGGCCAGGGAGUGAGGAACCGCAGGAGACGGGGCCCGGCAGCCAGGACAGGAGGGGAGGCUUGCUGAGAGGAUCCGGGAACAUACUGUGGCCAGAGGGACGGCAGGGAGCUAGGAGAGAGUGGGUGUGGAGAACCUGCCCCCCAAAGUGGGCUGAGGGCAAGAGGAAGCCCCUGCAGGAGGAAGGGCACAGCACAGGUCAGGCGAGUGAGGAAGUGGGAGAGGUGGGAAGAGGCCAGCACAGGAUGGGCUGCUACAGGCAGUGGUGCAGUGGAGAAGGGUGAGCACAUGAACCCCAGGUCUGAGGGUUCAUCAGCCUCCAGGCUGUCAGACAUGGACGAAGAGGACCCAGGACCACGCAGACAGCGAGCAAAUGGAUGUAGGCAUCAAGGCACCUGAAUGAUGGCGUUGUGCUGGAAUUGCCCUUAAUGGUUCAAGAGUGAAUUGCCAACUUGGUGGUCCCAGAGCUGAGGAUGCUUGAGAUACGAAGCCCAGAGAUAUAAGUGCAGACUGAAAGGAAGAGGGCUUGUACGUACGCGGGCAGGGAGCACCAGAGGGGACGUCCACACCGAUGGAAAGGCCAGAGCAGGUGGGAGAGGUCAGUGAGGAGAGCGUCUGGGGAGUGGUGGCUGCUAGGAGGGAGGGGUAGAGGAGUGGGGCAGCAGGCCCAUGGCUCUGUGCAGAGGGAGGCUGGGGUACUGACGGGUGGCAGCGCGGCAGAAGACUAAGGGUAGCAGUACUGUGGUGAAGGGAGAAAGGCAGAGAGUCAGGAAGGGUAUCCCACGAAUGCGUCAGAGGAGCGUGAAACGAUCUGAAUGGAACAGGAAAGGUUACACUGGGGGCAUUUGGGAGGACAGGAGCUUUGGAGGCUGGGGCAUGUGGACAGCCACUGUGUAACAGUAUGUCUGAGGCAGAGAUGGCUGAACUGGGUUGAGCAGCGGAUGGGGCACUGAGAAGGCAGCACACAGCAGAGGAGACAACUGAGGCAAGCUGGAGGCGACACAGAGAGUAG